GAAGCAGGAGUUGGCGCAGCAGAAGACGCCAUUUUGGGGCCGGCCGAGCCCCCUGUGCCGGAACCGGAGGAAGAACCCACCUACGCCCCGGUUCCUCUUCUAAAUGGAUGGCAUCGCGAGAGCUCUCUUCGGUUAAUGUUGUCCGAAACCUCUGAAGGCCGCUCCAUCCUCAGCUCAUACGAUAGAACAAAUAAUCUAACCGUCGAAGAUAAGAAGGUGCUCACACAUUUAAUAAUCGCCGAAGAAAUAAAUCGCAAUGGAUCCCACAAAAUCUCAGCCUCGAGGCUGCGGGAGCUAGCGGAGGAAGUUCGUGUAUGUUUCCCCACAGAGGUGGAGGAGCAUUGGUACGCAGGUCCUGAUGCUCAACGCUCUUGGUGCAGAGGAAAACUUUACGAGAAGUACAAGCACGCGCUACGCAGUGGAAAUUGGCAAUCGCUUCGGAAUUAUGGAAACCUGAAACAGAAGAGGGGAAGGAAGACGAAUACUUCAUCUCAGUUACCAAGAAUGGAAGAGGGAGUUGCGAUCAAAGAUGACAAUUUCGACAUCGGUGCCCCCGAUUCGAAGAAUCGGAAGACGGAAGAAGAAGAAGUGAGAGAGUCUAAGAUUGAUUUAAGAUCAAUGCUCUCAAAGAGCCGCACCGGCCGCAAAAUUUUACGCUCUUACAAGAAACAGAAAAGUUUGAGCGAGUUGAGCCGGAACCUGCUGACAAUUUUCUUGAUACGCUCGGAGCUAAACGGUCAUCUCUCCGUGAAAAUUCCACCCGAGCGAUAUCGCGAAAUGGCCAAGAGCGUCUGCGAAUGCUUCCCGACCGAGAACGAGAUGGACUGGUUCCGACCCAGAAUGGUCCGUCAGGAUGGAGUCGUCGUCCAGCAAAUGGGAAGACUCUACAAUAAAUACAUAUAUUACAAGUACUCGCAGAGAGCAAUAAAGGACGUACGCCAUGGAGUCCUUGCCAAAAGUUUAUUCAUCAAGCAGAGUCAGUGCAAGAAGCGGACUGCCUCGAAUCCUGCGCGCAAGGAGGAACCAGAGUUGGCUCCGGAGAGCAGCCUUUCGAAGCCUUCAAAGUCUGAAAGUGCACUCGCAAAAAAGGUAGAGGAUUCUGCAAACGAUCUGAGAUCACUGCUAUCUCAAACCCCACAAGGCCAACGGAUUUUGAGCUCAUAUGAUGAAGCAAAGCAACUGACAGAGUCGGAUCGUAGCACGUUGACGAUCUUGUUAAUUCGUAUGGAACUGAACGGCACGCUAUCCACCAACAUAUCCCCAGAGCGUUUCCAAGAGAUCGCUCGAGAAGUUGGUCGAUGCUUUCCGACCGAGGUGGAAGAGGAGUGGUACAGACCCAGGUCGCCUGAUCCCCCCUUCGGCAGGCCCAACGCCAGCGGAAGACUGUACGCUAGAUAUCUGUAUUAUAAGUACCAAAAGAAAGCCAUCCGAGACAAACCCAAUGAAGAAGUGGUUGAGGAAAUACCAAUUAAACCAAUCAGAAUAGAGCAUCGGACUGAUCCACAAUCUGAACGCAAGAGAGGACCUGGACGGCCGCUGAAACUUAAUAAUUUGAAACAUUUGAAGCGGAGGAAGAAACAGGAACACGAGGCGUGUGAUUCCAGAAACGAACUGAGAUCGCUUCUGUCUCAAAUCCCUGAAGGCCAGCAGAUUUUAAACUCGUACAAUAAUUCGAAAGAGUUAACUGAAGGAGAUCGGAAAACGCUCUCAAACUUAUUGAUCCUCAAAGAACUGAAUGGUGAUGCAUCUGCUAAAAUAUCCCGAGAACGGUUCCUAGAAAUCGCUCGAAAUAUCUGUAGUUGCUUUCCAACCGAGCUGGAAAGAAUUUGGUAUAAGCCCAGGGUGCGUUGCAGGAACGGAACUUACAUAUAUCCCUCAGGAAAACUCUAUCAAACAUGCAUGUAUUACAAAUAUUCCAAGAAAGCAGACACCGAUAGACGUGCUGAAGAAAAGGCCGAGGGAAUCUCUGAAAAUCAAAAUCGAUUGAAGAAUCGGACUGAGCCCCACCCUGAACGCUCUGAGCCCCACCCUGAACGCUCUGAUUCACGCUCUGAACGCUCUGAUUCACACCCUGAACGCAAGAAAAGACAAGGACAGCCUCCGAGGAACAAUAAUUUGAAACAUUUUAAGCUAAAAAAGAAACGGGUCCAUAACGAACUGAGAUCUCUUCUAUAUCAAAUCCCUGAAGGCCAGCAGAUUUUGAACUCGUACAAUAGUUCGAAUGAAUUAACAGACACGGACCGGAAAACUCUGUCCAUCCUAUUGAUUCGCAAGGAACUGAAUGGCGAUGUAUCUACUCAGAUUUCCCCAGGGCGGUUCCAAGAGAUCGCUCGGAGUAUCUGUCGUUGCUUUCCCACUGAGGUUGAAAAACAGUGGUACAGACCUAGAGGGCGAGGCAAGAACGGAGACCGUCCUCCCACGGGAUGGCUGUAUAGAAAAUUGGUGUAUUAUAAAUAUUAUAAGAAAGCAAUCAUCGACAAACACUUUGAAGUAGUAGCGGAGGAUAUCUCUACAGAUGAAAAGGGAUUAGAGAUGCUUGAAUCAGGCAGCCUAGAACACACGUCUUGA
rnacentral:lncRNA from 1 species